UACGUAGGGUCCGAGCGUUGUCCGGAAUUACUGGGCGUAAAGAGCUCGUAGGUGGUUUGUCGCGUUGUCCGUGAAAACUCACAGCUCAACUGUGGGCGUGCGGGCGAUACGGGCAGACUGGAGUACUGCAGGGGAGACUGGAAUUCCUGGUGUAGCGGUGGAAUGCGCAGAUAUCAGGAGGAACACCGGUGGCGAAGGCGGGUCUCUGGGCAGUAACUGACGCUGAGACGCGAAAGCGUGGGGAGCGAACAGG
rnacentral:rRNA from 1 species